UGGGUCUAGCUGGGAUGGAACUCACUUUCCCCUUAGCAGCCCAUACAGUGCUGUGUUCUGCACCUGUUUCUAGAACAGCAUUGUUAUGUCACUGAUGUUUUAUUUAUUGCUGAGUAGCGCUGGCACAGCAUCAAGGCUCUCCACAACCCCUCAGAGACCAGCAGGAUGGGGAUGCAGAAGAAUCGUUUUGAAUCAGAUCAUGUAUGAUCAUUACAUGAUCAUCUACAAUUGAUCUAAAUAUGAUCAUUACAUGAUCAAUCUACAGAAUUAGAAAUUAGAUAAGAGCCCAAGGAACAGUCAGGAGAGCAUCCACUGUUAUAUAUGAGAGCCUCACACUCAAACUGGAUUUAUUUGGAUAUUGACAAACAGAGGGAAGUAACUGAAACUGAACAGGAGAAUCAGCAUAUCACCACAUGUGCAUUACCCAGUCGGAAUGUAUGAUCAGAAAGAUGACAAUCUACAAACAUUAAAGUAAAGGGGACAUGUGCUGCUGAAAGAGCAUUGAGCCAAAAAUUGUUCCAGCUUCUGACAGAUACCCAGGAGCCUCCAGUGCUGCACUCCUCUUGAAGAGUUCAUAUAGAGAUAUCCUGUUGCACUCUUGCUGUUUGAAAAUUCAACAGAGAGAUAAAUGUUAUCUGAUUCAAAGAAAAUAAAAACAAAUGUCUAUGUCCUGAUUUUUACUUAUUACAUAACUAAUUAAUCAGAGAGGUCAUUAAAAACAUUAUGACCAGAAUUAACUACCUAAAUUCUCUAGGAGAAAACAUACUCUAAUAACCUUCACACAAAUCCUUUGCACCAUUUUCUACAACACUCUGGUGCUGCACGUCUGCAUAUUAAACUUUUAACUAUGCUCAGAACCAUGUGUUUUGCCACAUUUGCAUUUCACUAGUUCCAUGGGAUUCUUUCACUGAAUAAAACCGCAGUGUAGUUUUUUUUAAUCCAUGCAUACACAGCAAUAAUAAAGGAAUUGAUUUUUGAUGAAAGGUUUGAAUCCCUGUAAACUUUACCGAAGAGCUAAUGCUCUUGUCACUCCCAAACUGUGUUGUUUUUUUUUUUUUUCUCCUUCUCCAUUAUAUUACCUUUAGAAAGAAAAAGUAAAAUACGCUUAUACUUUUUUAAGGUAACAGGACCUUUAGGUUAUAUUGGUUUUCAGGCUCUCAAUGUUUUGAGUUGCUGAGGGCUGCGAAAUAGUGAGAUUUCAUGUAGAGUACCCUUCAAAUAUUUCAUGCAAUGAAGAUUUAAGAUGGCAUUUCCUUGACAUUUAAUAGAAUCAAGAAAUGAUCUCCUGAGACUCCUGAGUCAUCCAAGUUAUCCACUGUUAGGAUCCAGGUCCUUUUCAUCCAUACUAAAGAGUGACUAUGCUGUCCAUAAAAUUAAAUAACCUCAACCACUGCUGUGCACAUUAGGCUCUGAGGAAUGAAGCAAAACAUGGACCAGGAAGAAGAAUUCAUCCCUUCUACAGAUUUAUUUGCUCCUCCAAGCACAAGAAAGCAAAUAUUUAUUUAAUCCUUUACGUGCUUGUAAGGAAUUACUUUCAGGAAGGCUUUCAUGAAUACUACCUCUCCAGGUGCUUAAAUCUACAUACAGACAGAUACUCUCCUCCUCCCACCUAUUGGCAUCCAAACUCAAGUCAAAAUGAAAUGAGACACAGACAGGAACAAAAUGUGGGAGGAGACACAAGCCUGCUGAACAGAAGCUUUAUUCUUGGAACUUUGCAAAGAGAUCAAUAUCAGGUACUAUGGGAUUAUCUUUUAAUUCUUUGUCAAGGAAAUAGUAGAUUUUUUUUUUCCACAUAUGCUGUCAGAAUAACAACUGCAAUUAACAGCAAAGCUUUAAAACAUCCAUAAAACCUGCAUCCUAAAUUUCUUCUCCUAUUUGUCUGUAUUUCUUUUAUUCACUUUUGUUUUCAAUGAUUUUAUACUGAUUAUUUUUAAUCAGUUUUUUUUUUUUUUUUUUUAAUCUUAAUUUUAGUCUUGUAUCCUGGUGAAGUGGCAUAGCUGGUUGCAAAGGCUGUUAGAAUAGACACUUUGUUUGGCUUUCCUUGGGAGCUGUUGGGAAAUGCAGUUACUUAUUUAUUUUUACAUAGCAAUGCAACUAAUAUAACAAUUUUAAUAGGCAUAAUAUUAAAAAAAUGUUAGGCACUGAAAGUAAAACUUAAUGACAGAGCAAAUGUGUGUGCAUGCGUACCUAAUCAGUCCAGAUUUUCAUGACCUGUUAUGAGAAGGAAAAUGAACAUCAUCACUUCAGCUUCUGUUGUCAUAAUGGUUAUUUUUCUCACAGUUAUUUUUCUCAUAAAGAAGAUGAAGAUGUAAGUAAGCAAGACAAGUAGACAGCACAUAUCUAAGAAAACAUUGUCUCCCAUUAUUUUGUUUCUACUCCAUCCAGGAAUGAUUUUCAGUACUAAAAUUGUAGAGGAAAAGGUUAUCCUUAAUAUUUUAUGUUUCUGUCUGAGGAAAACAGGUUUAUUACAGAUAAAAAGUUUUUUAAAAGAUGAUGCAUGAAUUAAUUCUGCUACAUUAUGAUCAUGUUCCCUUCUUUACUACUGAUGGUCUCAGAGAUGGUGGCACACUAGCUGCCAUGGUGCCUUCUGACUGUGUGGGGAUUGGCCUUAUGUUAAGAGAAUUCCCAAUGGCUCUGCUUGACUGUGAUAUUUUCUUUUACAUGAUCAUACAGGCCUGAUGACAGCAUAAAAACAAGAGUUAUGGAUCCAAGCUAAAUGAUAGAACGUGUCCUUGUGCACAGAUGAAGAAGGUUAGCCUAUUCCAUUCAUAUAGGUCCACUGAAUGUAUAAUCACGGGCCAGAAUUGUAUUUCAGUCCUGUGCUAAGUAGCACAGUACCUGUGCUAGUUAUCCGUAAACACACACAUCAGCAGUCUUUAGAAAGUACUGCUUUUCUUACAUAGUUUGCCUUGCGAAAUGCGCAGCGAGGUAGCUUGCAGCAAGGCAUAAAUGGUACACUGAAAUGUAUGGUAUUAGGAGGCAUAAAUAUUUUAGUUCUCAUUUUUCUCUACCACUGCAGAAAUAAUGACUUAUAGAUGAAAAAAUGAGUUUACUUCUCAGAUAAUUGUCUUUGGUUCAGCAGACUUCCACUAUUUGCAUUUAAGUGACUGUUUGGAGUCCCCCAGAUUGCAGACAGUGCUUCAUUUCACUGCUUUGGAUAUGCCUCAAUGAAUUUGAGGGAUGACGCCAGCAGAUUAAUAAGGCAAUCUAAGUAGCAGUGAACAAGGAAGUCACGGUUUCAGUAUGAAUAUAAAUAUACUCCAGUCUUGUAAGAUCUUGCUCAUGCAAGUUAGGCCCAUUGAUUUCAAUGAAACUAUUCAGACGAACCACUAUUCACACACUGAACAGUAGUGUGUUACACACUGUAUCAUGCUAUGUUCACAGCACAGUGAAAGAGUGUGCUGAAUUUCGGCUGGUUUGUGGUUGUUCCCUUAACACAGAGAACAGUCUUCAUUAACAAACUGGCAUUGCUGUUUUUUCUUUUUUCUUUUGGACCAUGGAAACUUUCAUGACAGAUGAUAGAUACAUGAUGAUACACACAAGGAUAACAAUGAUGUAUAUGGAUAGCAUUAAAUCUGGCACCCAGAACCGGUCUUUGCAAAUUAAAUAGGAUUCUAUUCAAUGUAAGUAUUUUUAUGAGUGUCAGUGUAAAAUUCUAGCUCAUGUCAAAAUCAUUCCAAUAUAUGGAUUUUAGCUCAGAAGUGAAUUUUGUUUCACAAAGUUAAUUCAUUCCUGCUUCUAUAUUCACCCAGAAUCAUGCCAUUUUUGUGAACCUUCUAAUUUCUAGACCUCCAUCAGACUAGAGAAAGCUGGGCACAGAACUACAGCGAGUUAGAAGAGUCUUGCUUUUAUGUCAAGCUUGGAAACAUGCUUGGUGCCCUCUCAUUCUUGUCCUUUCAAAACUGUCUCAUUAUGAAACCCACUGCAAAGCUGAGAGCUGUUGCAGGCUCAGCUGCAGGGCUGGGGCAGUGGGUGCCCAGCUGCUGGGGCCAGGCAGCAUUGGCAGCUCAGUGUGGGAAAGCAGGCAUGGCGCUGGCCCACACAAUGUGAUACCUGGCUCCUUUUCAAUCAGCACUGCUCACUGCUCCCUUUCAUGAAAGCUGCAAUUAUACUGGUUGCCACUUAAAAGCCAGUGUUUGCCAAGAGCUGUCACCGAGCUGCAUCUGAAGUACCAGAGCAUAAUAAGAAACAACUGUGGUAACUGCAUGAUACCUGUUGACAAAUGCUGGUUUUUAAAUGGCACCCACUGUAAGUAAGCCCUCAAAACCAGCUCUAGAUAUACCAGUGGGAAGCAAGCUGUUUGUUUUUUUCACAUAUCUUUCCAUUCAGUUCUGUCUUGGCAUGCAAACUGUAACUUGAGAGAACCAUAGGAACUUCUUUGGAAAGGAGGCUCUUGAAAGGCCCUUUUUCAUGUGUGAAACAUAAUUAUACAGAAGAUAUUCCCUAUUUCUUCUUCAGUGUAUUUAAAUCGAUCCACUUAAAUUUACUUCUUUUUUUUUUUUUUUAAGUAUAUAUAUAACUGCUAUUCAAAGGAAAUAACAAGAAGGAAACACAGAGAUUUAAUAAAGUGCAAGCUUAGAACCUUAAUCAUAUUAGACAUCAAAUCAGUGUGUUUUUUUUUACUGACAUGUUAAAAUGGUUCUGGUAGUUGAGAAAUGGGUUACUGGUGGCUUGCAGGUGAUAUGAGCUUUGGGUGAGAUGCCAUGCACUUGCACACAGUGCUAAGAUGAUCUACUCUCCUUCCAAAGAAAAAAAGAAAAAGAAAAGAAAAAAG